rnacentral:lncRNA from 1 species
GCGCUUACGGUUACUUGCUCAUUGGGCAAGUAACCGUAAGCGGUUACUUGCCAAUGAGCGAUAGGUAAUUUUAACUGCUGCUGCAAAGUAUGGGGCACCGAGCUUGGCAGCCAGUACAUUCACUCGAUAUAAUAUAAAUACCGGUAAUAAACAGGAACGAAUGAUCGGUCCGUCAUCUAACACAAGAUCACAGCCAAAGACUAGAAUUUAACUAUACACUCUUUCCCCGCCAAUUUUUGCUCAUAUUUACUAGCUAACAGUACGACACAUCCUUUCUAUUAAGGGUUAAGUUACCUACAAGCGGCAUCAUUAAUAUUUUCGCAGAUUAAAUGGUGACGAGAAGCGUUUUUGUUUUUUUUUUCGAAGACACGGUAGAGUGAGUUCAGCCCUAUUGCAAGCUGGUGAAAUUACUAAUUUCACGUCGGUUAUAAAGAUUAGUGCAUAAUAUUAUGUAGAUUGUUUGAAAGUAUCCUUUGGAGACGCUGGGGAAUUUACUUUUUAAGUAAUCUGAAUAUUUGUUUGGGUUCUUAGUAUAAAAUGUCAAUGAUAACAUUUGAUACGAUUUCUUAAAGAUGGCGACCUCUGCCACAAUAAAUUAAUGAAUAUGAUAAUAUUAUAACGGAAUCACAGUUUCAUUCCAGUUUGUCUCGGGUCAACUUUAAAGGCUGAUCAUGAUUAGUUCAAUUUUGUGCUUUAAUGUAAUGUUAUGAUGGUCGAAAAAAGAAAAAGAAAUAUUAUAUUACGAAUGUAUAACUUUUAUCAUGUACAAGAUUUUACUUGACUUUGCUUGUGACCAACUUUCCUGCUAAAAUUGUAUAUAUUAUUAUAAUCCAGGAAAUCUGUUUGUCUUUUGAAAGUGAACACAGACUACAAAUGCUGUCGCGAAAGGUCGCGAAAUCAUUGAAAGGCUGGCAACACCAAAGAGCAGUCUCUCUGACGUGAUACGAUAAGGAAUUUGCCGCCAUCUAGGAAUGUUGUCUUGGAAGACCACAGUCCGUAUAACACAGAACAUUACAAGGUAUGUCAUGAUGCUGUUAUCUUUCGUUUCCUUCCGACAUAUGAUAAACUUAUUAAAACCCUUACUCAUAAAUGCGAAGCAGAUUUAGACAUAGUUAAUUUUGUUCUCAUAUCAAGAGAUAACCGACACUUACAGACAUUGAACAUACCUAAUUUUAUAUUUUUAUUAGGUGCGACAUCAUCGCACGUGAUAUUUUACCUUUUCGCCACUAAACCCCCAAACGGGCGAAAACAUGGUGGAGAUGCUGGGAUUGAUCCCAUAAUAAAAAAUUAAAUUAUUGUCGGAAGGAAAAUGAAUGGCAUCGUUGACAUAUACCUAAACAAAAACAAAUCAUUGCUAAAAAGGAAAAAAAAUUUUUUUUUGGUAUUUGUUUAUUAUCAUCCAGGAAAACCCUCGCUUACUCGAAACCUAUAAAACUCUUAUACAAUGUGGUGUUACUUGAAAGAACUGUAAUUACUUCUACGUUGUCUACAAAAGGAAAGUAAGAAUUUACUUUAAAACAUCGAGACUUCCUAGUAGACUGUCUGGAAUAAAUUGCAAUUAAUAUUGUUAAAUUACCGUCAUGUAUGUGUUGUGUGUCAAAUUCACCAUUAAUAAUAAUACGCGUCUACAUAUGGCGCGCAUGAUGAAUAACAAUGGAAAUUAUAAAAGUCCUGAUAAAUAAUAUUCAAUGUUACAUUAUGUAUGUUAAAUUUCAUGAAGUUAGGAAUUUUAGGUAGGUAAAAUUAUAAUUGAAUUUGUCAAUUUAGUUAAGGUACAAAGUAUUUUUUCGCUUAAGCUUCGCGUUUUAGAUUCAAUAUGUAAAUACUUUACUUCGAAAGAUUUUUAAAGAAUAAUACUAGUAUAAUUUAUCCGUUUGAAUUUUAGGUUACAGGUAGGGUGAUAACCAUGAACCACAUAACUUUUACCAAAAUUGUAAUGGUUCAGAAAACAUUCUAUUGACCGGAAAUGCUCGAUCAAAAUGCGCACUAGGGAUGUGCUUGUGGGCGUUUUGCAUUUAUGACCGAAUUUAGACUAUGUUAUAAUCGAAAAGUUUUGACGAUCGCAUUAAAUUUUUAAAUAUGUAGAUUGGACAGACAAAAUAGCAUUUGUUUUUAAAAAAAAAUCUGUUAAUUAGUAAUGCAACAAUGUCGUAAUACUUGAUUCAAGCGAAGAAAUCUAUUAAAAUAUCUUAGGUAUGACUUAAUAGGAACAGGAAUGAAAAACCUCAUAUAUUAUAAUUAUAUACCAAAAUUGAAUUUUCUCUUUCUAUUUCCUUAUAUGACUGUUGUGUAAUAAUUCUAACGGUUUGUUAGCUUAUAUUUACGCAUUCCUUUCUAAAACAAUAUUUUCUUCCACUACUAUAUGGAGCAAUAUUUUCAUAUUUUAACGCAAGCGUAACCGUAAAGUUUCUUUGUUUUAUAAAUAUAUAUAAAAAAAAAAAAAUGGGGUGGAAUUUAUUGUUAUAUAGUCAUGAUAUAAAAUAGAAAGGGUGAAAAUUUAAAUUAACUGUGUGGACAACAUUCACAAGUAAUGUUUUGUGUAAAGGGAAAGUAUCCUUAGAUGAGAGAUAAAGUAAUUAUAUUUUUUUCAUAUUCACGAAAAACAAUUCGAUCAUUAUACGAUUAUCGAUUUUCGAUUUUAUUUAUUUACAAACUAGUGCCACAUCUCUAAAACCGCGCGCUUACGCAGCUCGCUUGAAGCGGCCAUUUUGUGCGGUUUUGUGUUUCGAUGUGCCUAGUAAAUCGAAAAGUUUGCAAUAAUAAUUAUUGUAGUGCCUGCGUGACGGUAUAUGUGAACAGGAUCCAUAGAAACUUUUGGGUACUUACAAGAGCAGUCUCUCUGACGUGAUACGAUAAGGAAUUUGCCGCCAUCUAGGAAUGUUGUCUUGGAAGACCACAGUCCGUAUAACACAGAACAUUACAAG